GCAUUGUCGAGUUUCAACCCCGAAAGGGCGCAUCUUUUGUUGUCGAACAUCUCUCGUUCGUUAUCAUUAUGUUCGGUCGUAAUCAUCAGAAUAGCUUCGAUAUGAAUACGAACAGCAACCAGAUCUUCAUCAACAAAAACACUGAAGGUUUUUCAAAUCUUUUUCGAGGAAGAAAUAAACCUUCACAAACAGAACGUCUAAAUUAUUUAAAAAUUUGGAGAUCUCAAACUUGAAUAUUUAGGAAUUAUUCAAAAAGAAGUUUUAUACAGUUGAUGAUAUUCAAGCGAAUUUUGAGGGUUCUCCGAUAAAGCUGAUUCUUGGUGAGCGUUGCACGAAGCCAGAAUUGACCUAGUUGCCUAUAAAGCGAUAGGCAAAGCGGCCCCGGCGUCGCGGCGCUAUUUUCACCCAGCGCGUCGCUAACUUUAGACGUACGGCCGACGGACGCUCCCUAAUAAGUUCAAGCGACGAUUAUGGUGGCUGACGCUGCCGCUGCUGCCGCCGCCGCCGUAGCCGACGACGGAUAAAACAUAACGUCCCGCUGCAAGGCAACGGCGAGCGUGCCAAAAUUAUGCCUGUCCACGAAAAAGGACUAACGCGAUUGUACGGCUGAAGACCUCAACUAUACGACUAUGAGCGCAACCAUGAAGAAAUAACUGUUUAUCCAAUGUUAGCGUGUAUUUUUGUCGGCAUCG